rnacentral:rRNA from 1 species
UGGUGGCGAGUGGCGAACGGGUGAGUAAUGUAUCGGAACGUGCCCAGUCGUGGGGGAUAACGCAGCGAAAGCUGUGCUAAUACCGCAUACGAUCUAUGGAUGAAAGCGGGGGAUCGCAAGACCUCGCGCGAUUGGAGCGGCCGAUAUCAGAUUAGGUAGUUGGUGGGGUAAAGGCUCACCAAGCCGACGAUCUGUAGCUGGUCUGAGAGGACGACCAGCCACACUGGGACUGAGACACGGCCCAGACUCCUACGGGAGGCAGCAGUGGGGAAUUUUGGACAAUGGGCGCAAGCCUGAUCCAGCAAUGCCGCGUGCAGGACGAAGGCCUUCGGGUUGUAAACUGCUUUUGUACGGAGCGAAAAGGUCCUCUCUAAUACAGGGGGCUCAUGACGGUACCGUAAGAAUAAGCACCGGCUAACUACGUGCCAGCAGCCGCGGUAAUACGUAGGGUGCAAGCGUUAAUCGGAAUUACUGGGCGUAAAGCGUGCGCAGGCGGUUAUGUAAGACAGAGGUGAAAUCCCCGGGCUCAACCUGGGAACUGCCUUUGUGACUGCAUAGCUAGAGUACGGCAGAGGGGGAUGGAAUUCCGCGUGUAGCAGUGAAAUGCGUAGAUAUGCGGAGGAACACCCGAGUGGCGAAGGCAAUCCC